GUAGCGCGCGCCUGUGUUGUUCUAGUCCAUAAUAAAAAAAUCCAUUUGGACCGAGAAGUGAGCUUUGCGAGUCGAAUAUCUCGCACGUAGUGUUGCCGCUUUUCCGCGUGCGUGAUUGGCUGGCGCGGUCGAGAUUGACGGCGAUCGCGAGAUCGCGGCGAGUUUGGCGAGUUUCGCGUGUGUUAAAUCGUGCGACGUGACGUGUGUUCGCGUGGUGUCUCGCGAGAUAAUAUUCCGAUGAAUUUAAUGUUCGAGAAGAUCUGAUGGGAUUAGCUAUUGGUGCUCAUGAUGCAAAUAUUCAACAAGCGUGAAAAGUUGAUGACAUUACAAAUAUAGUUAGAAGAAAAUUCAUGCACAUUUAAGAUAUAUAGAGAGACGCAUGAAGCUGUUAAGAAAGACCGAUCUAUGCAGGAAUAAAGCAGUAACCUAAAAAUAGAUAGUGACAGUGUGACAGUCGUGACCAUCGCCGCGUGAUAGAUGAUAGUGAUAGUGAAAUAUAUAUUGACGGCAGGGAGCUGAUGCCGAGGAGAUCUUUAAGAAGGAAGGUAUAUCCAAAAUCGCACACGACCAUUUUAUAUUCAACUAUAUGGUAUACAAUUUUGCCGCUAUAUAUUGACCGCAGGGAGCUGAUACCGAAGAGAUCUUUAAGAAGGAAGGUGUAUCCAAAAUUGCACAUGUAUGGAACUUGUGAGUUAUGCGAAGCAAUUGAUACUAUUAAGGUUCAUUGGUCAUAUGAAGUUUGCACACGUCAAGCUUGACAUCCUAAAGAUCACAAUGCAUUCUGAAAAUAUACCGUGCAGGUUCGUUGGCGUAUAUGUGGUGUCAUACAGGCUGGAAGGUAUUUUCUAUGUUUUGGAAGUAAAAUUUGGAAAAUACAACAUGCCACAAUAAGCGCUAAACCAGGAAAUAUGGUACGACGGCUUUUUAUUUUUUACGUUAAUGCUGAAUGGAAAAGCCUAUAAGCAUAUUGCGGACAAGAUGAUGUCUAAUCUGGAUACAGCCACG